GGGCCUCCUGGUCGGCGCGGCGCCGGGCCGCCAACUCGGCCUCCUUGCGGGCGACUUCGUUGCGGCGCCGCUCCGCCUCGGCGCGGGCCCGC
rnacentral:tRNA from 1 species